GGUUCAACUCUAAUUCUCUUUUCCCAUUCCUUUUUCUUUGUUCUUAUUUCCUUCCUAUUCCCUUGUUCCCACACGGCAGUACCUUCUCACCAACAACCCUCUCUCUCUCAUCGAAACCGUAUAUCUUUCUCUAAAAGGGAAUCAAACUCUUACUAAAGUGUCAGUUUCAAUUGUGGGUGUUACUAGUUGCCAAGUCUAAGCUCCUUCGACUGUAGGCUUUUGAUUCUUCUGCUUUCAGGUAAGGAAUAAGUUAUAUGAGCAUUUGGUAAGUCAUGAGAUUAUUUUAAAGUAUAUUAUGUAUUAAAAGGUUUUUUAUUAGAGAUAUGACAUAUAAUCAUGUUUCAGACAAAAAUAUAUUCGUGAGUUCUCGAAACUUUGUGUACAUGAUUUAAGCAUAUUGAUGCUAUUACUAAUUCCACGAACAUGAUGUUUAAAGAAAACAAUGGAAAUACUUUUAUUAUGAAAUGUUAUGCAAAUUAUGAAUUUCAGUAUGAUGUAUAAGUAUGAAAUGUUUUUGGGUUA